AGUUAGUGGCGGACGGGUGAGUAACGCGUGGGUAACCUGCCUUACACAGGGGGAUAACACUUAGAAAUAGGUGCUAAAACCGCAUAAGCGCACAGCUUCGCAUGAAGCGGUGUGAAAAACUCCGGUGGUGUAAGAUGGACCCGCGUCUGAUUAGCUUGUUGGCGGGGUAACGGCCCACCAAGGCGACGAUCAGUAGCCGGCCUGAGAGGGCGGACGGCCACAUUGGGACUGAGACACGGCCCAAACUCCUACGGGAGGCAGCAG
rnacentral:rRNA from 1 species